GUUUAUGUAGUUUAUUUAAAAACAAAUUAUUUUCAAUAAUUAAAAAAAGAAAUUUCUUAAACU
rnacentral:tRNA from 1 species